GUCACACUCUCUAAUCCAUGCCUAUUUUAGCAACAUUAGAUACAUUUUAGUAGGUUUUUAGCAAUAAAUAUGAGAGAAAUCUAACCAUUAGCUUGAUUACUUGUUUUGCAAGAAAACAGGAAAAACUGCAGGAUUUGAAUGAUUUGCACUACGCUGGGGGGCGUAGCCCAUCACGCGCCGCGUGAUGGAGCUCACAGAGAGCCAAGAUUUUCACUCUGAUCACGCGCGGCGUGAUAACUGACCACGCGCGGCGUGAACCUUGGUGCAGGAACUGGAUUGCUCUCUGCCUUGCCUACGCGCGGCGUAGCUUUGGACCACGCGCGGCGUG
rnacentral:lncRNA from 1 species